rnacentral:misc_RNA from 1 species
GAUGAAGAACGUAGCGAAAUGCGAUACGUAAUGUGAAUUGCAGAAUUCAGUGAAUCAUCGAAUCUUUGAACGCAUAUUGCGCUCUUUGGUAUUCCGAAGAGCAUGCUUGUUUGAGUAUCAGUAAACACCUCAACCUCUUCUUGAUUUUUCAAAAGGAGGGUGGACUUGAGCUAUCCCAACAACCUUUACCGGUCGGCGGGCGGCUUGAAAUGCAGGAGCAGCUGGACUUUUAUCUGAGCUAAAAGCAUAUCUAUUUAGUCCUCGUCAAACAGGAUUAUUACUUUUGCUGCAGCUAACAUAAAGGAUAAUUGUCCUCUUUGCUGACUGAUGCAGGAUUUUACGACACUUUAUGUGUUGUUCAACUCGAUCUCAAAUCAAGUAAGACUACCCGCUGAACUUAAGCAUAUCAAUAAGCGGAGGA